CACGUAGUUAGCCGGGGCUUCUUAGUCAGGUACUGUCACUUUCUUCCCUGCUGAUAGAGCUUUACAUACCGAGAUACUUCAUCGCUCACGCGGCGUCGCUGCAUCAGGGUUUCCCCCAUUGUGCAAUAUUCCCACUGCUGCCUCCCGCAGGAGUCUGGGCCGUGUCUCAGUCCCAAUGUGGCCGGCCGCCCUCUCAGGCCGGCUACUGAUCGUCGCCUUGGUGGGCCGUUACCCCGCCAACGAGCUAAUCAGACGCGGGCCCAUCCCAUACCACCGGAGUUUUCCCCAGGAAGCUAUGCAGCCUCCUGGGCGUAUGCGGUAUUAGCAGCCGUUUCCGGCUGUUAUCCCCCGGUAUGGGGCAGGUUCGCCCACGCGUUACUCACCCGUCCGCCACUCAGACAAUUACCGUUCCUCCCGAAGGAACUCCUAGUAACCGCUUCGUCGACUUGCAUGUGUUAAGCACGCCG
rnacentral:rRNA from 1 species